GGGUAAACUACAGUUUAGUUCCUCAGC
rnacentral:piRNA from 1 species